rnacentral:lncRNA from 1 species
UUAGAGCCCCUACUCAAGGAUGCCCAUUGUUCUGGCCCGAGUGCGUUUUUAGGCCAAAGCAAUGGGAGGAUAAAGGAAGGAGUAACCCGACCUGCAGAUGGUGGAUGGAUGACUGGCUAAAGUGUCUAAGCAGCCGGGGAGGGCGUGGGAGACGGCCAGGCCGGAGGUGGACUGAGCUCCAGGCAGAGUCCUAGAGAUUAGCCCUGAGCUAACAUCCGCCACCAAUUCUCCUCUUUUUGCCGAGGAAGACUGGCCCUGAGCUAACAUCUGUGCCCAUCUUCCUCUCCUUUAUAUGUGGGAUGCUGGCCACAGCAUGGCUUGUGCCAACGUGGGCUGGACAGAGGCAGAAGCCAGCUGGCAAGGGUGCCUGGAGGCUGAGCCCCUUGUGACAUGGAGCAGAAGGGGGACUGGAUGUGUGGACAGAAGCUUUGAAACCUCAGGAAAAGAAAGCAGUCUUUCAGCAAAAGAAUAAUAGCAACAACAAAAGCCCAAAGUCCAGACAAACAUCUCUUAUUUUUCCUUUUUCUGUCUCCACCCAGUACUAUUUUUUUUUUUUUUU